AUUGAACGCUGGCGGCAUGCCUUACACAUGCAAGUCGAACGGUAACAGGUCUUCGGAUGCUGACGAGUGGCGAGCGGGUGAGUAAUACAUCGGAACGUGCCCGAUCGUGGGGGAUAACGAGGCGAAAGCUUUGCUAAUACCGCAUAAGACCUAUGGAUGAAAGCAGGGGACCGCAAGGCCUUGCGCGAACGGAGCGGCCGAUGGCAGAUUAGGUAGUUGGUGGGGUAAAGGCUUACCAAGCCUACGAUCUGUAGCUGGUCUGAGAGGACGACCAGCCACACUGGGACUGUGACACGGCCCAGACUCCUACGGGAGGCAGCAGUGGGGAAUUUUGGACAAUGGGCGCAAGCCUGAUCCAGCCAUGCCGCGUGCAGGAUGAAGGCCUUCGGGUUGUAAACUGCUUUUGUACGGAACGAAAAGCCUUCUUCUAAUAAAGGGAGGUCGUGACGGUACCGUAAGAAUAAGCACCGGCUAACUACGUGCCAGCCGCCGCAGUAA
rnacentral:rRNA from 1 species